UCAAACUUGGUCAUUUAGAGGAAGUAAAAGUCGUAACAAGGUUUCCGUAGGUGAACCUGCGGAAGGAUCAUUGAAGAGGGGGGCUUCGCGCCCCCUCCCCGUAUUACCCGGGGGAACCCUCCCGCGGCAGGGGGCCCUUGACCGGGCAUCUCGAGGCCCCCCGUGUGCCCGUCACACAGGGGGACACCCUCCCGCGGCGGCGACCCUUGACCCCAACCCCCUGUCCUUGCAGAACCCCCUGUUUCCUCGGCGGGCUCGCCCGCCAACGAGGACCCCUAUCAAAACCCCUUGAAGUGCCUGCAGUAAACGUCCACGCGAGUAAAAUCGAAUCAAAACUUUCAACAACGGAUCUCUUGGUUCUGGCAUCGAUGAAGAACGCAGC
rnacentral:misc_RNA from 1 species